rnacentral:rRNA from 2 species
UUAAAUUGAAGAGUUUGAUCAUGGCUCAGAUUGAACGCUGGCGGCAGGCCUAACACAUGCAAGUCGAACGGUAACAGGAAUCAGCUUGCUGAUUCGCUGACGAGUGGCGGACGGGUGAGUAAUGUCUGG